AUGGGAAUAAAGGGCGCCCCACCAGCGUCCUCCAAUUUCCCGCUAUUCAGCUCAGACCUGAGUAGCAGCAGGCAGCCGAAAGGAUUUGCAGCUCUCUCCCAAAACAGCCCUCUUGGCCACCUCCCGCUUCCCACAUGGGCAAAGUCAGGACCACACCUGAGAAGGAGCCAAUUGGAGAAGACCCACCUUGGACCCUUCCUGGAGGAGAGGCAGUUCCCUGGCUGCCAGCACAAAGGCCAGGGCUGGGCCAACGUGCCUGCAAGAGGCCUGAUUUCUUCCUGGAGACUGAAGAGCCUGGGGAUACAACCACAGCUCCCCUCCCCCAGAGCCACCUCACACCCACUGGCCUCCCUGCUCCCCGGAGGGCAAGGGCUGCAGGGACCCAGAGCGAGCACGAAUGUGGUUUCCUCUCAGCCUCACCCCCCAGAGACUUCCGCUGGGCUGUGGCCAACCUGGGCGGAGAUGUCAGCCUCCUCAGGAAGCCUCCUGCUCCGAGGGAGAGAGACAGACAAGCUGACAGUCAGUGGGGCAGGACACAAGGCCACGCCCCUUCCACCGGAGGCAGCAGGUGGGGAGACCCAGGAGAGAAGAGCGGCCGGAGAGGCUGAGGUCAGCAGCCACUUGGCUCUGGAAGCAGCUGCAGAUGUGUGGCCACACCAGCACCAGGGGACCCUAUUCUGCAUCUAUGCUGGGCUGGAAGACUGCAAAACCACUUGGCAGAAGACAUAAAUGAGAAAUCCUGUACCAAGUAAGGAUGAAAAGAAGAAUUGGAAACAAGUAUGCAAUCGGCCACCAACUAUCGAAUGGAAGCAAUAAAAAAGAACUCAACCAGGGCCGGGGAUUUAGCCCAAUGGUUCUGCCGCCUGCCUUGCAAGUGCAAGGAUCCAAGUUCGAUCCCUGGUACCAAAAAAAAAUUGUUUGUGCAAAAAGAACUCAACCCUACCCAUGCUCAUGCCUACACACUCUCGCACACCUUCCCUCUCUCUCCCUCAGAGGGACUCAGUUCCAAGGUGUGAAUACACCAAGUCUGCCCUCCUCAGGGCUGCCGUGCAUGUCAGAUGAGAAGAUGCAGGGAUGGUGCCUGCAGACGUGAACACACUCCACGCAUGUGGAUGAAGUAUCACUUGACCCCAAUUCUUCUCUCAGGGAGAAGGAAGCUCCUGCUGGGUCCUGAAGCUUCUUAGUUUUCUAGUUAGUUUCCUUUUGUUCCUCUCCAAAGCUCUGCUUACCCAGGAGAAUAAUGUCAACACUUAUGAUGCCAUUUUAAUCAUCCCAGGGGCAUUGAUCAUUAUUAUGAAUCCCAAAAUAGCUGAGCUAUUCAUGUUUGACAGUGCGAUCAUGCAGGGCUAUACAUCAUGGAACCUUCAAUGGAGGAUAUGCCUUGGUUUUCCAUGCACCUUCUCAUCUGUCGUCUCACAGAGAGGAGGUAUUCUCCCGAUUAUAGGGGUCCAAAACCAGGGGCCAAGGUGGGUCUGAUCACUCACCAGCUGGAGGACUGUGCUGGAAGGAUGGGCGCAGGUCCCUUCUCUGUUUCAGCAUGAGAUUUGCACACUGAGGGAAGUGUACGGCACCCCCCCACACACACACACACACACACACUGUGGGCUCCAUCUUUUCUCCCUAGCAUUGAGGUUUAAGGUUCCCACCUCCUUCCCAGCCCUGUUUCCUGGUCCCACCACCUCCUCCCCUGGGUCUUGCUCAACAAUGACCUUUUGGCAUCUCUGCCUCUCCCUCUGCACAGCUUCCACCUUGCCUCCCUGACAGGUGUGUUCAUGCCCCGACCACAUACCACCUGCUCCAGACGGACGCCCUCUCUGUUGCCCUCCCUGGCUCAGAUGCUCCUGAAAGCAGAGUCCGGGAUCCAGGCCUAGGGACAGGCACAAACUUAAGUAUCUACAUGGGUUGAAUUGUGUCCUCCCCAAGGCUAUGCUCAAGGUCUAACCUCUCAUUCCUGUGGAUGGAUCUUACUUAGGAAGAGGACCAAGUCCAGAGGAGCUCCCAUAGUGCUUCAGUGGGCUCUAACCCACUGAUGGACUUCCUUAAAAGAAGGAAGAUUUGGACCCAGAAACACUUCGGGAGACCACAAAGGCCUCAUAUUGGAGUAAUGUAUCUAUAAGCCCAAGCAUAAAAAGGAUUGCCAGCAUCACCUGGAAGCCAGUAGAGAGGUCUGGCCCUGACUCUCCCAAGAGCCUUCGGAGGGAACCACCCCUGCCAACACCUUGACUUUGGACUUUACCCUCCAGAACUGGGAGAGAAUUCGAAUGUCAUUUUAAGCGACUCUUGUCUGUUGGGAUUUGUUGCUGCAGCCACAAAGCCCAAACACAGUGUCCACCUCCUUAGGGCUUCUACACUCUCCUAAAAGAAGUGAGGCUGUGGUCACCUGCAUCCAGUUCUUUUGCAUGCAUUGUUACAAGGACAGCUGUGGCCCUGUGGAGCCAGCCCAAAUCCCAGCCCUCUGAGGGCAGGCGCCUUGUGUCCGAAACAGGAGCACCUCAACAACCAAGCACUGAUGUCAGCACCCAGGUUCCAGCACUCAGCAUCAUAAUCAGAAGAGACCAACACCUUGCUGGGCACGCUGACCGGACUCCACCAAUGCUAUUUCCCAGCCUGCAGACCACUCUGCCUGUCUCAGAUCACAGCCACUAAUGGGGUAGGGUGAGCGUCUACAUCCAUCCUGCACACAGCAGGGGCUUAGUGUCCCUCCUGCCCUUCCCAAUGGGGAAGCAGGGACAGGGACAGACGGUGCUCCCAGGAACACUGCUAACCAAGACAUAGCCUCAUCACUGUGUGUCCCACUUGCCUGUCCCCUCUGCUCCAGAAGAAACCUCCUCACUCCUCACCAAGCCUUCCGCUGCCCUUCCGGUUACCUGCUGCCCCUUAACUCCAUCCAGAGAGCCCAUUUCAUACAUUCAUUCAUUCAACAAGCCCAUGCUGGGCACUCAGGCUGCGCCUGACACCACACUACUCCCAGGGAGCCCUUGAUGACAAAGACACUGUUCCUGGCACAACUCUAAGAAAGAGACAUGGGCCUUGGAGUGAUGGGAGAAACCCAAAACCAUGCCCAUGUCCCCACAAGCUUCCAGCCCACCUCUUCCCCUGCCACCCCCCAGAGAGCUCUGUCCGUCCAAGUCCCAAAAUACACAUUGGCACAUAUUGCUGGGGACAUCAUUUUACUUAAAAAUGGGAGGGGGAGCUGGGUAAAAUGUUGCGUAUCUGAAGUCCCAGCUACUUGGGAAGCUGAGAUGGGGGAUUGCAAGUUAAAAGUCAGCCUGGGCAUCUUAGCAAGACCCCUGCCUCAAGAUAAAAUUUUAACAGGGCUAGGGUGGAAGCUCAGUGCUAGAGCACUUGCCUGAGAUGCUCAAGGCCCAAGGCCCCGAGUUCAAUGCCCAGCACCGGGGUGUGUGUGUGUGUGUGUGUGUGUGUGUUAGGGAGGGGGUUAAUUUAAAUCAUUCAAUCAGUAAGCAAUCCAAAACAUUAACUG
rnacentral:lncRNA from 1 species